rnacentral:rRNA from 1 species
UACGGAGGGUGCAAGCGUUAUCCGGAUUCACUGGGUUUAAAGGGAGCGCAGGCGGAUUGGUAAGUCAGUGGUGAAAGGCUUAAGCUUAACUUGGGAACUGCCAUUGAUACUAUCAGUCUUGAAUGUUGUUGAGGUUUGCGGAAUGGGUCAUGUAGCGGUGAAAUGCAUAGAUAUGACCCGGAACACCUAUUGCGAAGGCAGCAGGCUAAACAAAUAUUGACGCUGAGGUGCGAAAGCGUGGGGAGCAAACAGG